GGGGCUCUAGCUCAUAUGGUAGAGCGUUCGCUUCGCAUGAUGGCAUGAGCGCGAUUUGCGAGAGGCACAGGGUUCGAUUCCCUGGUGCUCCA
rnacentral:tRNA from 1 species